rnacentral:rRNA from 1 species
AUUGAACGCUGGCGGCAGGCCUAACACAUGCAAGUCGAGCGGAGCGGCAGAGGGGGGAGUAAUGCCUAUGAAUCUGCCUGGUAGUGGGGGAUAACGUCCGGAAACGGGCGCUAAUACCGCAUCCUAUAGGAUGAGCCUAGGUCGGAUUAGCUAGUUGGUGGGGUAAAGGCCUACCAAGGCGACGAUCCGUAACUGGUCUGAGAGGAGGAUCAGUCACACUGGAACUGAGACACGGUCCAGACGCCUACGGGAGGCAGCAGUGGGGAAUAUUGGACAAUGGGCGAAAGCCUGAUGCAGCCAUGCCGCGUGUUUGAAGAAGGUCUUCGGAUUGUAAAGUACUUUAAGCGGGGAGGCGUUACCAACAGAAGAAGCACCGGCUAACUUCGUGCCAGCAGCCGCGGUAAUUC